rnacentral:rRNA from 1 species
UAGAGUUUGAUCCUGGCUCAGAUUGAACGCCGGCGGCAGGCCUAACACAUGCAAGUCGAACGGUAACAGGAAGAAGCUUGCUUCUUUGCUGACGAGUGGCGGACGGGUGAGUAAUGUCUGGGAAACUGCCUGAUGGAGGGGGAUAACUACUGGAAACGGUAGCUAAUACCGCAUAACGUCGCAAGACCAAAGAGGGGGACCUUCGGGCCUCUUGCCAUCGGAUGUGCCCAGAUGGGAUUAGCUAGUAGGUGGGGUAACGGCUCACCUAGGCGACGAUCCCUAGCUGGUCUGAGAGGAUGACCAGCCACACUGGAACUGAGACACGGUCCAGACUCCUACGGG